rnacentral:rRNA from 1 species
AGAGUUUGAUCAUGGCUCAGGAUGAACGCUAGCUACAGGCUUAACACAUGCAAGUCGAGGGGCGGCAUGUUGGUUGCUUGCAACCAAUGAUGGCGACCGGCGCACGGGUGAGUAACGCGUAUCCAACCUACCCUUGUCCAUCGGAUAACCCGUCGAAAGGCGGCCUAACACGAUAUGCGGUUCACAGCAGGCAUCUAAGGUGAACGAAAUGUGAAGGAGAAGGAUGGGGAUGCGUCUGAUUAGCUUGUUGGCGGGGUAACGGCCCACCAAGGCGACGAUCAGUAGGGGUUCUGAGAGGAAGGUCCCCCACAUUGGAACUGAGACACGGUCCAAACGUCCUACGGGAGCA